GGCCGAUUGAUAGUUCUUAACGAAGAUUAUGGGGUUUUAGGUGAGGUGAUCGCGGAGGACCUGAUCGCGGCGGCGAAUCUGAUCGCGGUGGAGACCGGGUGGUUCAACAUCAGGGAUGCCCGCCGUUACCAGAUCGAAGCGGCGGAGGACCUUCGCGGUCCCGGGAUGUAAAUCCCGGCGGUGUUAAGUUAUAGGGCUCGCCUGGCGGCGGGUUCGAAUCGCGGCGGUGGCACGAUCCGUGGCACAUCCCUCUCCGGCUCGGAGAGGUUACUCAACUCAAUUAGGGCGUAAAGAUUGCUGGGGGAUUGUGUGACAAUCUACUUAGCAAUAUUGUCCUUUCUUGGGAUCACAACAAACCUCUGUUUGUUGCACCGGCCAGAUGCCUUGAUGCGGAGGAAUCCUUUCACCGAGCUGCAUGUGAUACUAAUAAUGAGGAGACUUAGAUAAUAGUGAAGCCUGGUGGUGUUCAACGUGGCCUUGUAUCUCAACUCAAAGUCACAUUCUUCCCUAUGUUGAUAGAGUACAUUUAAGAUAGAAAUCUGGCCAGUUGUGCGCAUGCACUGUUGUGGCUGCUGGCUUCUGCUUGCAGCAUGACUGGGAGGCUUCAGAUUGCAAAGAGGGCAAUAGAGCUGGCUGAGCAGCGGCUGUCCAAAGACGGGUGGCCUGAGUACUAUGAUGGUAUGACGGGGAAAUACAUUGGGAAGCAAGCAAGGAAGUUCCAGACAUGGAGUAUGUCUGGCUAUCUGAUUGCUAAGACGAUGACAGAGAAUCCAAACAAUGUUUCAUUGCUAUCAAUCGAAGGAGGAGUCUCCCGUUCUACUUCAGAGAACCACAGUGGUAUACGCUACAAAUAACCACAGUGGCAUACACUACAGUCUAUGGAUAACAGUGACAGAGUGGAUUUUGGUACAGAUUUAUUUGCCUUGAGAAGGUAUAUACUUUAGGCAUUGCUCUAAUCAUCAUGGCUGAUGGGGCUUCACUAUAAGGCAUAAGCUGUGUUGCAAUUUGUUUUCCUUUUUCGCCUGAAAGGUGGAGGAAACUAUUUUUAGUUACUCAUUGAGAAACAGUUUUGUGAUUCAUUACAAUUCAUUUGGAUGAGACCUUUAUGAUUCAUUGUUACUGGAAUAUAUUCUGCAUCUUCUAC